CGCGGCGAGGUGGGCGGUGUCGGCGCUGAGGGCUGCUGGAGCGAGUGACGUCCGGAGUCUCCUUUUUAAGAAGUCUAAUGUAGUCGGGAGCACAGAAACAUUGAUGAGAAAACUGAGAAAUAAAAAGGUUAAGCCAUGUGUCCGAGACCACAUAGCUUGUGAAAAGCAGAGCUGAAAUACCACCCCAAACCUGGCUGAUUCCAAAGCACAGGCUCAAAGUCACUAUGCUCUCUCCUCCUGUACUUCCCUGGGUGAUCACGCCCAUCCUGAGAGCUUCAAUUGUCAUCUCUAUGCUGAUCACUUCCCCCAUCUAUAUCUCCAGCCCAGACAUUUCUGCUUAGCUCUAGCCAAUAUAUGGAAUUGGUGAUUGGGAUACUUUUACCCCACAGGCUCUUCAAACCUGCCAGGUCCAAAACAGAAACCAUCAUUUCCCCAGGAAAUCUGCUCUUCUGCCUGUAUUAGUUUUCUUUCCUUUUUAUUUUUUUAAGUAAAGUCUACAUGGGGCUCAAACUCACAACAUGGGGCUCAAACUCACAACCCCAAGAUCAAGAGUCACAUGCUCUACCAACGAAGCCAGCCAGGCUCCCCUGUGUUAGCCUUCUAAAUAGGUGCUACCACCAGUGUCUGACCAUAAGAUUCCAUUGCUUAAAACCCUCUGCUGGCCCACUAGUGCUUAUACAAUAAAGUCCAAGCUCCUUAA